rnacentral:lncRNA from 1 species
AAACAGCUUUUCUAAUUUCUCAUGUUAUUGUACAUAAGCAAAGCAACCUAGUUAUGUCUUGGGUAGGUGUUCUUAUAGCCGUGAGAUGCUACUGACUUGAGGUGGAUGCAGAAAAAAAUGGAACCACUGCCUUAAUGGGAUGGAAUAUACUAAACAUGCAUUCUUAAAUCCUAGUGCUGGGUUUGUUUGGUUUUUUUUGUUUUGUCCUCAUGAGGCUUAGCAUCUAAGGGAGACAGGCAUGAAUUAACAGAAGUGGCAUUCUGG